rnacentral:rRNA from 1 species
GAUGAACGCUAGCGGCAGGCCUAAUACAUGCAAGUCGGACGGGAUUCAGGAGCUUGCUUCUGAUGAGAGUGGCGCACGGGUGCGUAACACGUAUGUAACCUACCUUUAUCAGGGGGAUAGCCUCUCGAAAGAGAGAUUAAGCCCGCAUAAAAUCACAGCACAGCAUUGUGUAAUGAUCAAAUAUUUAUAGGAUAAUGAUGGGCAUGCGGAACAUUAGCUAGAUGGCGGGGUAACGGCCCACCAUGGCGACGAUGUUUAGGGGAUCUGAGAGGAUGGCCCCCCACACUGGUACUGAGACACGGACCAGACUGCUACGGAGGGCAGCAGUAAGGAAUACUGGUCAAUGGGCGGAAGCCUGAACCAGCCAUGCCGCGUGCAGGAAGACGGCCCUAUGGGUUGUAAACUGCUUUUAUACGGGAAUAAACCCAGAUACGUGUAUUUGGCUGAAUGUACUGUAAGAAUAAGGAUCGGCUAACUCCGUG